UGCUACGAUCCACUGAGGUUAGCCCUUGUUCUAAAGAUUUGUUC
rnacentral:rRNA from 1 species